rnacentral:misc_RNA from 1 species
CAACCCCCAAGCAUUGCUUGGUAUUGGGCUCCGCUGCUCACCCAGCGGGCCUUAAAAUCAGUGGCGGUGCCGCCGGGCCCUGAGCGUAGUAAAUAUCCUCGCUAUAGGGACCCGGUGGACGCUGGCCAUCAACCCCCACUCUCUAA